UCCGGCUCUAGACAUAGAAAUAUCACCAAAAAAGUGUCCAUAUAGCAAGGUAGAAAGAAAAUUCUGGAGUGAUAUUCACAGAUGAUCCUUUUUCUUCUUCUUCUUGCUCAGACUGCUUUAAGGGGGG
rnacentral:miRNA from 11 species